UACGGAGGGUGCAAGCGUUUAUCCGGAUUUACUGGGUUUAAAGGGUGCGCAGGCGGAUAUGUAAGUCAGUGGUGAAAUCUCUAGGCUUAACCUGGAAAUUGCCAUUGAUACUAUAUAUCUUGAAUGCUGUGGAGGUAAGCGGAAUAUGUCAUGUAGCGGUGAAAUGCUUAGAUAUGACAUAGAACACCUAUUGCGAAGGCAGCUUACUACACAGAGAUUACGCUCA
rnacentral:rRNA from 1 species